GGGUGGUCACGGGCACCGGGCGGCCGCGCGGAAAGGAGCGGCCUCCCCCGGGGCCGGGCGCGCGGAGAGCGGCGAGGAAAGCCCGGGCUGGGCUGGGCUAGGCUGGCCACCGCGCUGGCGACGGGAGCAGACGCGGGUCCCGGGAGACGCCUCCCAGCGCCCCUGUCUCUCGCUCUCGCCGUCUCCCGGUGCAGCCCGCACCCGCCUCCCUCCAAACGCUGGCGGCCCGCGCUGCAGGCGCCUCCCCUCCUGGGGGUGCUGAGGCUUGAGCGAAAUCCCACUGGACAGUAACCGGCUUCAGCGGAGCGAAAACUCAGCCGCACUCCAGCUACGCUCCAGGGCAAGCUGCGCCGGGCACCGUUUCUUCCUUGUGACGUUCAAAAGAAUGCAGAUGGGUUACCAACUACAGGAGAGGUUAAACUUGAGGGCGUGCUUUUUAAAUUCAUUAUCAACGUUUUCAUGGAAAGAACCGGCUAAGGAGUCGAUCUGUCUUCCAGUUUUAUCCCUAGACUCAAAUUAGGACAUGGGCUGGCUCUCAGUGAGCACUCAGUAAACAGCAAGUCUCCUCCUGCCCUUUGAAAAAGCGUUUCGGAUCAUCUUGGCAUUGUAAGCGAUUUUCAUCUAGUUCCAGUCCAAGUGUGACUGGCUUUACACAGGUUACUCCCCCUCCUGGACUUUCAGGAUCUCGCUCUGUCGCCCAAGCUGGAGUGCAGUGGCGCGAUCAUGGCUCCCUGUAUCCUCGACCUCCUGGGCUAAAGCGAUCCUCUCGCCUCAGCCUCUCCAGCACUGGGACUACAGGCGGGCGCCACAAAGCUCAACUAAUUGUUUUAUUGUUAGUAGAGACGAGGGGGGACUCACUACGUUACCCAAGCUGGCCUCAAGCGAUCCUUUGGUCUGGGCCUCCCAAAACGCUGGGAUUACAGGAGUGAGCCAAUGCGCCUGGCCCCGAUUUUUAUUCUUGAAACCAUCCCUUCCAUUGGCUCUGUGACACCUCGGUCUCCGUGUUUCCUAACCUUUUCUUGCUCAGCCACCUCUUGCAUGUUGGAGCAUCUAAAUGGUCUUGCCCUUAGUCUGUCUCUAAUGCUGCCUAGGCACAUGGCUUCAAUUACCAACCAUGUGCUGAUAACUCAUAAAUUUCCAUUUCUGUCCCACAUCUCCAGUUCUAUAAAACGAACUUUUUACCAGAAAUCUCUACCCAGAUGUCCCAUCGGCCUUAAACUCAACUUGACUAAAACAGAACUCAACUUUCCUGCCAGCUGGCUUUUCUCUCUAGUCUCAUUCUCAGUAAAUGUCACCACAAUCCACUUAGUCACCCAAAGGAGAAAUCUGGAAAUUAUCCCAGGCUUUUCCUUCUCUCAUCUGCUGUCUGCCCAUCCAUGCACCUAUCAUUUCUGUCUAUCACCUUCCCUCCAUUCCACUGCUUUUUGCCUAGUUUCAGGUCUCUUGUUUCAAGACCCUGAAACACUAUAUUACUCUCCUUAUUAGUCUCACUGCCUCUAAGUUUGUUGCACCUCCACCCUUGCCAUCUCACGUUGUGACCGAAGUAAGCCUUCUAAAAUACAAAUUUUUGACCAAGUCAUUCCCCACAUCAGCCCUGCCAAUGGCUCCCCAUAGCCUGCAGGGUAAAGUCCCGAUAUCUUAGCCAGGGCCUAAGUCUCCACUCUCUUUAAACAGUGAGUUUCUUGCACCACCAUUCCCUGUUGGGCCACUUACUUUUAUGCUGUGCCCUCACAUGGAGUGUCCUUUCUCUUACACAGCCUAAGUUUACCUGCUCUUUCAAGAUUCACCCUAAGAGUCACAUUCCUUAUGAAAUCAUUUCUGACCCUGCUGCAGGUUAGAACUGAUUUCACUGAGCUUUCUCUACACUAAAUGCCUCUCUCCCCCAAUUAUAAUGCUUUAGAAGACUUUAUUAAACUCAGUUUUUAUUUAUAGUCUUCCUGAUGGCAAGUAUUAUGACAGACUUACUUUCGUCUUCUUAGUUCCCAGUACAGUUCCUGACAUUAGUAGGUGCUCAGUGUUUGUGGAAUGAAUUAAUUAUGUGAUGUACCUUGAGUUAUUAUAUUUUUGUGGCUUAUAGAAAAUCGUUUUCCCAUGCGUUAUCUCAUUUCACUCUUGACAGUUCUGCAAAAGAUAUAUCAUUAUCACCUUUUAUAGAAAUGGAAACUGAAGCUACAAAGGAAUAAAGCAAUCUGCCCAAGGUUCUACUGUAUAUACUUCAGAGCCAGGACUUGAACUCAGUUUGCCCAGUUCAGUUCAUUAUAUGUUUGCCUGUUUCUAUGGUCUGAAUGUUUAUGUCUCCCCAAAAUUCAUAUGUUGAAAUCCUCAUUCCCAGGGUGAUGGUAUUAGGAAGUAGGAAUUUUGGAAGACUAUUUGGUCAUGAGGGUUGAGCCCUCAUAAAUGGGAUUAGUGCCCUUAUAAAAGAGGUCCAGAAAGAGACUUCUGACUCCUUCUGCCAUGUGAGGUUAAAGUGAGCAGAUGGCUAACUAUGAGGAAACGGGCCCUCGCCAGACAACACAUCUGCAUCUUGCACUUCCCAGCCUCCAGAGCUGUAAGAAAUACAUUUCUGUUAUUAGCCACCCAGGCUAUGGUAUGUUGUUAGAGCAGCCGAAACAGACUAUGACAGCUAUCCAUUAUUUUUCCCCUUAAAUUCUGUUUAGUAUGAUUCUAUUUUGUAGAUUUUUGUUAGUGGUUGCCAAGAAUCUCUCCAUCUUUUUAUUUUAAACCAGUCUGAGUCAUUAUGUUUUAAGUGUGUCUUGUAAAUAACACUUGAAUUUUUAUAUUAUUGACCCGUUCUGAGAGUCUGCCUUUUAGUAGUCUAUUUUCAUCUGUUUUCAUUUAUCAUGUCUAUUAAUUAGAAUAAAAAGUUGU
rnacentral:lncRNA from 1 species